UGAGAAUUAAAGACUCCACUCAUCAAAAUACGUGUUCACAGAUUUCCACUCACUGUGACUUCAACUUUUACGCAGAAAUAAGUUGGAUUGUAAGAAAAUGGGGAUUCCUUGCUGGGAUCCCGUCACGUCCACCACGUUCAAGCCGACGAGCAUCCACAGCAGAGCGAGGCUGCUGCUGCACGUGUGGUCGAGAAAAAACAGCUUCCCCCACUUCCACUGCAUCUUCAUAAUCUGAUGAUGAUGAUGAUGAUAGUGGUUCUUUUCUUUUCUUUUCUU